rnacentral:rRNA from 1 species
GAUGAACGCUGGCGGCGUGCCUAAUACAUGCAAGUCGAGCGAACAGACGAGGAGCUUGCUCCUCUGACGUUAGCGGCGGACGGGUGAGUAACACGUGGAUAACCUACCUAUAAGACUGGGAUAACUUCGGGAAACCGGAGCUAAUACCGGAUAAUAUAUUGAACCGCAUGGUUCAAUAGUGAAAGACGGUUUUGCUGUCACUUAUAGAUGGAUCCGCGCUGCAUUAGCUAGUUGGUAAGGUAACGGCUUACCAAGGCAACGAUGCGUAGCCGACCUGAGAGGGUGAUCGGCCGCACUGGAGCUGAGACACGGUCCAGACUCCUACGGUAGGCAGCAGUAGGGACUCUUCCGCAAUGGGCGAAAGCCUGACGGAGCAACGCCGCGUCAGUGAUGAAGAUCUUCGGAUCGUAAAACUCUGUUAUUAGGGAAGAACAAAUGUGUAAGUAACUAUGCACGUAUUGACGGUACCUAAUCAGAAAGCCACGGCUAACUACGUG